GUGCUCGCUUUGGCAGCACAUAUACUAAAAUUGGAAUGAUGUGGAGAGAUUAGCUUUGGCCCUGUGCAAAGAUGACACGCAAAUUCGUGAAGUGAAGCAUUUCAUA
ensembl:snRNA U6 U6 spliceosomal RNA